UGCACAUAACUUUGAAAAACUGAACUCUUGAGUGCACUUUUCCACAAAAGCCACUUUGAUAAAUCCGCUCUGCACCCUGUCGAUGAAAACUAUGAUCAAAUCCGAAUA